rnacentral:misc_RNA from 1 species
UUUGUUUAUAGAAUCAUGAAGCAUAAGGAUGGAAAACCGGGUUCUCAACCUGAUAGAAGGUCCCGGGUUGUUCUCAUAACAAUAAUGUUUGCUGUACUAUGCGGGUUUUCCUUCUAUCUUGGUGGAAUUUUCUGUUCUGAGAGAAACAGAAUUGAGGUCAAGGAUGUCACAAAGGCAGUCUCAUCUCCCAAGGAAUCAGUGGUUGCUCCUCUCCAAAUUAAAUCCACGGCCUUACCUGAAUGCAGCAGUGACUAUCAAGAUUACACUCCGUGUACAGAUCCAAGGAGGUGGAAGAAGUAUGGUGUUCAGCGGCUUACUUUCAUGGAACGUCACUGUCCUCCAGCAUUUGAAAGGAAGGAAUGUUUAGUUCCACCACCAGAUGGGUACAAGCCACCAAUCAGAUGGCCAAAGAGCAGGGACGAAUGUUGGUACAGGAAUGUGCCAUAUGAUUGGAUCAACAAGCAGAAAUCUAAUCAGAAUUGGCUGAGGAAAGAGGGGGAGAAAUUCCGCUUUCCUGGUGGAGGUACUAUGUUUCCUAGAGGAGUCAGUGCCUAUGUUGAUCUGAUGGAAGAUCUCAUCCCAGAAAUGAAAGAUGGAACCAUUCGCACUGCUAUUGAUACUGGAUGUGGGGUUGCAAGCUGGGGUGGCGAUCUAUUGGAUAGAGGGAUCCUAACUCUUUCUCUUGCCCCAAGAGACAAUCAUGAGGCUCAAGUCCAGUUUGCACUGGAGCGUGGAAUUCCUGCAAUCCUAGGAAUCAUUGCCACACAACGACUCCCAUUCCCUUCAAGCUCAUUUGAUAUGGCUCAUUGCUCAAGAUGCCUUAUUCCGUGGACUGAAUAUGGUGGUAUUUAUCUCCUAGAAAUUCACCGUAUACUCCGUCCUGGUGGCUUUUGGGUCUUGUCUGGUCCUCCAGUUAACUAUGAAAAUCGUUGGCGAGGGUGGAACACUACAAUAGAAGAGCAGAAAUCAGAUUAUGAGAAGUUGCAAGAACUUCUAACUUCAAUGUGCUUCAAACUGUACAACAAGAAGGAUGACAUUGCUGUGUGGCGGAAAGCUUCAGAUAAUAGUUGCUAUAGCAAGCUUGCUAAACCUGAAGCCUACCCACCAAAAUGUGAUGACAGUCUUGAACCAGAUUCUGCAUGGUACACUCCACUUCGUACUUGUGUUCUUGUUCCCAGCCCAAAACUUAAGACAUCAGUUCUGGAAUCCAUCCCAAAAUGGCCGGAGCGGUUGCAUGUUGUUCCUGAACGUAUUUCAGAUGUUCCUGGUGGUAGUGCUAGCACUUUCAAACAUGAUGACAGCAAGUGGAAGGUGCGAGCAAAACACUACAAAAAGUUACUGUCAGCAAUUGGGACUGAUAAAAUAAGAAAUGUAAUGGACAUGAAUACAGUUUAUGGAGGUUUUGCUGCAUCUGUGAUUGAUGAUCCCUUGUGGGUCAUGAAUGUGGUCUCUUCUUAUGCUGUCAAUACACUUCCCGUGGUCUACGACCGAGGCCUUAUUGGAACUUACCAUGACUGGUGUGAAGCUUUCUCAACAUACCCUCGAACAUAUGACUUCCUUCACCUUGAUGGCCUUUUUACUGCUGAGAGCCACCGAUGUGAUAUGAAGUAUGUGCUCUUAGAGAUGGAUCGGAUCCUGCGUCCCAGUGGGUAUGCAAUUAUACGGGAAUCUAGCUAUUUUGUUGAUGCUAUUGCCACCAUUGCCAAGGGGAUGAGGUGGGGCUGCCGUAAAGAAGACACUGAAUAUGGUGUUGAGAAGGAGAAGAUAUUGAUUUGCCAGAAAAAGCUCUGGUACUCCUCUAAUCAGAGUUCAAGAAGAUAAAAAUAGAAAUCCUAGUUGUGGUGAUGAUCUCCUGACAAGGAUUCCAGGGGAUAGACACCAUAUAUCAGUAAAGUUCAAUACUUGACCUGCAAAUUUAUUAAAAUCCACAGGAGCCGAGGUCUACAAAUUCAAAUUUGUCAAUUGGAUUAUUAGCUACACAAUAACCUAGUUUUGUUAAUUUAUAGUGCCCAUAAAAGAUAUGUAUUCUUUGCAAGGCAUCCAUAUAUUCUUGGCAAUUUUUUUUU